GUACUGUAACCCAGGUACAGUAACCCAGGUACUAUAACCCAGGUACUGUAACCCAGGUACAGUAACCCAGGUACUAUAACCCAGGUACCAUAACCCAGGUACAGUAACCCAGGUACUAUAACCCAGGUACUAUAACCCAGGUACAGUAACCCAGGUACUAUAACCCAGGUACAGUAACCCAGGUACAGUAACCCAGGUACAGUAACCCAGGUACAGUAACCUAGGUACACCCAGAGACGGUUUGUCCACAGUUAAUACAAAGUUUUUGCUCUUCAACACGAAAUUCUCUGACAUUAAAUUCCUUUUGAAAGGGGGGCUUUUUUGUUGGAAUCGGAAAAACCAC
ensembl:lncRNA